rnacentral:misc_RNA from 1 species
GCAAACUUGGUCAUUUAGAGGAAGUAAAAGUCGUAACAAGGUUUCCGUAGGUGAACCUGCGGAAGGAUCAUUAAUGAAAUCAUAUUCUCCUUUGGAGUUUCUUCUAGCUGAUGCGUCUUUUGGCUGCACGCUGUUGUCACUCUUUAGGGGUUAUAUUUCCACAAACCCUUCUGUGCAUAUUGGGAGGCUUUAUUGUCCUCUCCUAAUUCAUAUACUCUAAUGUUUAAUCAUGUCAUACAAUGUUAAAUACAUUAAACAACUUUCAACAACGGAUCUCUUGGCUCUCGCAUCGAUGAAGAACGCAGC